ACAAACUUUCCCCUUCGUCCUUUUGUGAUUCCAUUUCUCAAGGCCAACCUGCCCCUGCUGCAGCGGGAACUGCUGCACUGCGCUCGGGCGGCCAAGCAGACCCCAUCCCAGUACCUGGCUCAGCACGAACACCUUCUGCUCAACACAAGCAUUGCAUCGCCUGCUGACUCGUCAGAGUUGCUCAUGGAGGUGCACGGAAAUGGGAAGAGGCCCAGUCCAGAGAGCUGCAUAAUACAUCUAAAAUCUAUGGGAGUAGCUUCCAGACAUGAGUAUUUUUCGGGAACUCUUCAGAUGCCUGCACACCCGGAGAGAAGAGAAUAGUUUUGAUAGAGACACAAUUGCUCCUGAGCCUCCUGCCAAGAGAGUAUGUACCAUCAGCCCUGCUCCUCGGCACAGUCCUGCUCUCACUGUGCCCCUCAUGAAUCCUGGGGGCCAAUUCCAUCCUACCCCUCCACCUCUUCAGCAUUACACCUUAGAGGAUAUUGCAACUUCUCACCUGUAUCGGGAACCCAACAAGAUGCUAGAGCAUCGAGAAGUUCGUGAUAGACACCACAGUCUUGGUCUAAAUGGAGGCUAUCAAGAUGAGUUGGUAGAUCAUCGUUUGACAGAAAGGGAAUGGGCUGAUGAAUGGAAACAUCUUGACCAUGCGCUGAAUUGCAUUAUGGAAAUGGUAGAGAAAACAAGGCGCUCUAUGGCCGUUCUGCGGCGCUGUCAGGAAUCAGAUCGUGAAGAACUCAACUACUGGAAAAGACGGUACAAUGAAAACACAGAGCUGAGGAAAACGGGGACCGAGUUGGUCUCCAGGCAGCACAGCCCUGGGAGUGCAGAUUCUCUCAGCAAUGAUUCUCAGAGAGAGUUCAACAGC
rnacentral:sRNA from 1 species